AAACUCGUAACAAGGUAACCGUAGGUGAACCUGCGGUUGGAUCAUUAAAAAAAAUUUUAAAAAAAGUGCAUUUAAAAAAGUUCACUUUUUUGGAUUACUUUUUUCCCACCACUUGGUGAACUGUUAUUUUAUUGACUAUAAGAGUAGGUUGGUCAGGAGUUCCUCCUGUUUCUGCUUGGAGCAAUUAGUUCCUCUGCUUUUUUGUUAAAAAACCUAGUCUGAAAAAAUAUUUUUCUAAAAAUAAAAUAAAAACAACUUUUGACAUUGGAUCUCUAGGCUCUC
rnacentral:misc_RNA from 1 species